rnacentral:rRNA from 1 species
CACCAGACUCCUGCGGGAGGCAGCAGUGGGGAAUAUUGCACAAUGGGGGAAACCCUGAUGCAGCGACGCCGCGUGAGCGAUGAAGUAUUUCGGUAUGUAAAGCUCUAUCAGCAGGGAAGAAAAUGACGGUACCUGACUAAGAAGCCCCGGCUAACUACGUGCCAGCAGCCGCGGUAAUACGUAGGGGGCAAGCGUUAUCCGGAUUUACUGGGUGUAAAGGGAGCGUAGACGGUCCUGCAAGCCAGAUGUGAAAGCCCGGGGCUCAACCCCGGGACUGCAUUUGGAACUGUAAGGCUAGAGUGUCGGAGAGGCAGGCGGAAUUCCUAGUGUAGCGGUGAAAUGCGUAGAUAUUAGGAGGAACACCAGUGGCGAAGGCGGCCUGCUGGACGAUGACUGACGUUGAGGCUCGAAAGCGUGUGGAGCAAACAGGAUUAGAUACCCCCGCA